GGACAACUCCCAACGCUUCCCCUUCGCUUAUGCCUCCUAACCCUUCCCCUUCAGUGAGACUUGCAGGGACAACUCCUAACGCUUCCCCAAGACUUGCAGGGACAACUCCCAACGCUUCCCCUUCGCUUACGCCUCCUAACCCUUCCCCUUCGGUGCGACUUGCAGGGACAACUCCUAACGCUUCUCCGAGACUUGCAGGGACAACUCCCAACGCUUCCCCUUCGCUUACGCCUCCUAACCCUUCCCCUUCGGUGAGACUUGCAGGGACAACUCCCAACGGUUCCCCUUCGCUUACGCCUCCUAACCCUUCCCCUUC
rnacentral:lncRNA from 1 species